rnacentral:tRNA from 1 species
GGACUCGUGGUCUAACGGCUAUUAAAUACCGUAGAUGACGUCUGCUUGACGUGCAGAAGGUUGGCGGUUCGAUUCCGCCCGGGUCCA